UACGGGGGGAGCAAGCGUUGUUCGGAUUUACUGGGCGUAAAGGGCGCGUAGGCGGCCUGUGCAAGUCAGUUGUGAAAUCUCCGAGCUUAACUCGGAACGGUCAACUGAUACUGCUCGGCUAGAGUUCGGUAGGGGAGACUGGAAUUCCUGGUGUAGCGGUGAAAUGCGCAGAUAUCGUAAGGAAGACCAGUGGCGAAGGCGGGUCUCUGGACAGUUCCUGACGCUGAGGCACGAAGGCCAGGGGAGCAAACGGG
rnacentral:rRNA from 1 species